rnacentral:lncRNA from 1 species
AGAUCUCCAAAUAUCUCCAGAAUUAACAAAAUUUUGAGUGUCUUCUCUGUUCUACCUCAUCUUCACCAGAGGGCAGGCCGGAGCAAGAAGAGAAACUGAAAUUCAUAUCAUACAAGUUUGUACUUCAAGUAUCUUGGGUAAAAAGAUUAGUGGAAGAAAAUACGAAAGCACCACGCUGUCCAGUAGUGCUUUGAGAAUGAUCCAUUCUACCACUGUCCACAGUGCUAUGAUAAUAAAUAAUAUGAAUCAAUGCCCAUUUCCUUUCUCAACCAAAACUGGUUUAAAGGGUAUACUGGUUAAAAAUACACAGGAAUAAAAUGUGAAUCAGAGUUUGAAAAUAAUAUUAAUUUUUAAGCUUUAGUGAUCCUGAAUUGUAGGUUUAAAUAGAUAACUUAUUUUUAU